UACGGGGGGUGCGAGCGUUGUCCGGAAUCACUGGGCUUAAAGGGCGCGUAGGCGGGCUGCCGCGUCCGGGGUGAAAUCCUCCCGCUCAACGGGAGAACGGCCUCGGAUACGGGCGGCCUCGAGGGGGGUAGGGGCAUCUGGAACUGUGAGUGGAGCGGUGAAAUGCGUUGAUAUUCACAGGAACUCCGGUGGCGAAGGCGAGGUGCUGGACCCCAUCUGACGCUGAGGCGCGAAAGCCAGGGGAGCGAACGGG
rnacentral:rRNA from 1 species